CAGAGCUCAGAGGAGGGCGAAAACAGAGGUGACGGAUAGCUUGGGGUCGAUUUGGGACAUCAUGAGGCCGGGGAUCGCCGGCGCCGUCUUCGGACCGGGGUGGAGGUUCUGGGUCAACCCCGUCGUCUGGAGUGUCGUCAGGGCCGACGCCGUCGUCUGUUGUGCCUCCCCGCGUGGCAGUAGGCCUGCUGCUUAUACAAGAUGCACCCACGGAUAAGGGUCCGUAUGGAGGGGAGUUGAUGGUGUUUUGCAGUGUAUUUGUUUUGAUCAGGUUUGACUUCUCCACAUAAAAUCUUUGAAGAUAACGUUCACUGAUGUUGACUUUGUUUGCAGUGGGCUUGUAUAUUGGACUAGUCAUUCUCACGAUUGCGUGAGAAAAUUUGUUGGGCAUGGAUGGGGAAGAUAAAGGUAAAGCGACUAAUCCUCUUACGAAAACUAACGUGUCAAAUACAAAAAACAGUAGUAAUUUUCCCAAAAUUGUAUUUAUGUAGAUAAAUCGAGUGUAAAUUAGCAUGUUUGGUUGGUGCUCAGAAGAUGCACCAUGGUUGAUGACCAGUGCUGCUUGUUUUGAAGCAAAUGUCUCAUACCUGAGAAAGUGUCCUCACAAAAAAAUGUGCAAGUUCCUGAUUCAUCUUCCCUGGCCUCUCCCUUUGUCUUGUAAUUAUGUGGUUAUUCUUGUAAUGAGAAUAAGUGUUGCGCAUUUAAUGCGUAUCGUUGAAUUGAGAAAUGGUUCUGACAGUA